CUUAUCAAUAAUCAUUGAGCACACAUUUUCACCAUGAAACAGAGCUGGGUCAUAGUCUUACUGGCAGUAGCAGUUACAGGUGUCCACCCCCAGGUCCAGUUGCAGCAGUCUGGAGCUGAGGUGCUGAUUUCUGGGGCUUCAGUGAAGGUGUCUUGUAGGGCUUCUGGCUAUACCUUCACCAGCUACUAUGUGGACUGGGUGAAGCAGAGAAUGGGACACAACCUGGAGUGGAUUGGAAGAAUUCAUCCUGGUAUUGGUGUUACUGACUAUGCUCAGAAGUUCAAGGGCAAGGCCACAAUGACUGCAGACAAAUCCUCCAGCACAGCCUACAUGCAGCUCAGCAGUCUGACAUCUGAGGACUCCGCAGUCUAUUACUGUGUGAGACACAGUGUUGUGACCACAUCCUGGAGGUGUAAGCAACCCUGGAUGAACAGAGUGUUCUCCAUGAAUGAGAUGACAGAGGAGACUAGUUUGAAGACUUGCUCAAAAGAAGCAAGGCCUUGUUCUACCACUCUACUGUCUUCUAUGGUCUUUGUACACUUUUCAAAAUGCUAUUUGAGAAAGAAGGGAUAUUGA